CUUGAAUGAACUUAAUUUAUUACAUUAAAUGAGAAAACAGGAUCAGGAACAUGGUGGAGUAACACGCAGGAGAGAAUGACGUGAAAUCUGGGAGAGUGACGGGAGAAUCCAGCAAGGAGCAAAUGCAACAGAAGAGACCAUCCUGGCAGAUCCAUCACACCAAAGUCCUCGCCUGUUCUAGUCUCUCAGUUGCAGCAGGUGUUUGUUGGAGUUUUUCCUGAUCGGACUUUCAGAUGAUGCUCAUCUUCUAGAGACAGAAAUGUGCAAGAGCUUCAUGGGAACCACUCAAAGGUCUGACCACAGCUGCAUCACACCACAGACACAGUGUGGCCUGCAGAGGGCGACACAGUCAUGCUGAGGAAAUACAUUAUUUCUUCAGUUCGUGGUGCUGAGGUGAGCAGGUGCUGCCAAUCUUUUUUCUUCUGGAGGUGUUUAAGAAGGCUGGGCUGUCUGCACUCUGGUGCCUGAGUGUUAGCCUUUGGGGUGACUUCCUAGUCCUGGCUUGAAGCUCCAGUCAAUCCCAGCCAAGAAUCAAGACUUCAACCCUUCUAGAAUGAUUUUGGAUCAAGUUCCAGCGAACAGCCCAAGCCCUUCGACUCCUAGGAUCUCAGGCAAGUGAACCCUGCUCACCCUCCACCUGUAACUUUACAUCAAGUCUCAAGAAACUUCUCAAGGUAUUCCAUUUUACUGAGAACUGUUGUGUGAGAAUCCAACUACCUUGUGCUUACCUGACUCUUCACCAGAGAGCUCACCACUUAAUUUGGAUUAAAGCCCUUAUUCAGCAGUAACCGUCAGUCCUCCCAGGCUCUGCAUUGUUCUCCCUCAGCCUAUCACGUUUGCUUCAUCAGUAAGAACUUAUUCUCAGAAAUUCAAUUUCAAACCUCAAGAGUAAUUUACCUGAUCUCCCUUCCCACAGUUUGUGUAUCCAGUUCCACGUCGACAACCUGUCAAAAUAAACUUGUUAAACUGUU